AAUCAAGAUUAUGUUAAUUUCAUGCAGACAGACAGAUCUGCUAUUUGUUUCUGGAAAACCUAUUAUAGAGGGCUUGCAGUUGCAUCACAAAUCACCUACUGUAGCAACCGCACCAGGUGCCAUGUUGGAAGACCAAAGACUGUUGGAAGUUCUCCAAUGGUCCACAUGGCUGGCUGCGUUUUGCUACCAUCGGAAACUUCGGGAAGAUUACCCCUUAUUUCGUUUUUCCAAGGACCCRGAAAACAGAGGCAUUGGGAGAACCUAUUCAAAUACAGAGAGCUGUAAAACCCUGUAUGCAGAUGAAGAGGUCCCAAUGAAUGUUCAAAGAGMACAAGGGUACAUCCUUGUAUACCAUGGAUUAUAUGUGUACCUACUGUAUGUUAGCACAUUUUGUGAACCAAAAAAAUAAGGUUUAAAAGUCACACAAUGUUACACACAAUGUUACCUAUUACAACUGGAGCAGGCCAACCCUGCUGCGUGUGCACGCUUCUGUUCCAGCCCAGCACUAACACGACUGAUUAAAUGUAUCAAACCUAAUCAGUUAAUUAUCAAGUGUGCUAUUGCUGGGCUGGAACAGAAGUCUGCGUCCCCCCGUAGAGCAGGAAUCAGUGGAGCGAGAUUGGCCACCUAUGUUGUUGACUUUUUUUUUGUUCACCUGAAAUGAUCCUUCAGUAAUAAUAGGCUUGUUAGUAAAAUGUCUAACCUUAACAUACGAGUUAGCUUACUUUUACACUUUGGAAAUGAUGUGAAAUAGUGUUGGUUCUUUGAAGUGUUUUAACUUGUUUUAAUUGUGAACUAUUAUUCAAGAUGAACUUGUGUCGAUGUUGAUUAAUCACGGAUCACAAUCCUGCAAUAAAGAGGGGAAGGGAAUCGGUC